rnacentral:rRNA from 1 species
GACGAACCGUGCGAACGUUGUUCGGAAUCACUGGGCGUAAAGGGUGCGUAGGCGGGUCUUUAAGUCAGGGGUGAAAUCCUGGAGCUCAACUCCAGAACUGCCUUUGAUACUGAGGAUCUUGAGUUCGGGAGAGGUGAGUGGAACUGCGAGUGUAGAGGUGAAAUUCGUAGAUAUUCGCAAGAACACCAGUGGCGAAGGCGGCUGACUGGUCCGGUUCUGACGCUGAGGCGCGAAAGCGUGGGGAGCAAACAGG